rnacentral:snRNA from 1 species
GUGCCUUAAACUAAUGAGUAAGGAAAAUAACGAGCGUUGGUGACGCUUCGCUCUACUAAUAUAAUUUAGUAGAAAUAUUUUAAAGGGUACAGGUCGUCCCAGGCUCACCUACCUACUUUGUAGGAGGGCCCAGGAGUCAGCGAUCUGCCCU